GUCACCCAUUGUGAUUCCAGACUGGAACCUGUGUGUUGUGUUGGGUAUCACACUACAGGACAGGACAUGAUGUACAGGUGUACGAAUUCUGUGGAGGCAGCGUGAUACAAGGACUAUACAUUUCCUGUCUCCUAUCAGCCGGAUUUACUCCGAAAAGGGCAUCAAUGACCAUUGGACCAUAUACUUCUCCACAAUAUUGCAGGCACUAAAGGUGGACUUUUAACAAGUGCAGUGACAAUGCAGGAGCAUCUCCCAGUCCAGCACAUGGGCACCAGGAGCACAAAGUUCUCCUAGUAGUGAGGUUUGUCCUGGGCCUCAUCCGGACGACCAUGACUGAUCUCCUGGCCAACCUGAGUGUUCCAUGGGGCACACAGGUGAUUGUGAGCCCCAACCUGACAGCAGCAGCCCUGGUUGUGCCGGGGUCAGGCAAGUCUCUGGCCCCCUUCUGCACCUUCUGCUGCUGUGGCCUGCUGAACCGUACUCUGGCCGUGGUGUUUAUGGUCAGUCUGGCCUUCGCCAUAGUGGUGGGCAACGUGGUCACGCUCACCGUCUUCAUGCAGACAAGACAGGUCCGCACACCACAGGGAUACCUCAAAGUCUCUCUGGCCAUAGCGGACAUGAUGGUUGGAGUGCUGGUGGUUCCUUUCUCUGUCUACACUGAGAUCUCUCUAAUGGUGACCAGUUCCCCUCCUGUCUGGUACCAGGGGGGCACUGACCCCUCCAUGGGGGGCCUGGUGGGACCCUGGCAACCCUGCAUGCUGAUUGGUCCAGUCUUCGCUGGCUGUACGUUUGUCUCCAUCAGUACUAUAUUCCUGAUGACGGUAGAGCGCUGUGUGGCCAUCUUAUGGCCCCUACAUAAGGACCACCUGGUGACACGGAGACGCACCCUGUUUCUCAUCCUCUUCUCCUGGGCAGGCAGUUUCCUCCUGGCCCUGGCCCCCCUCAUCCUCAGCAACAACUUCACACUGGAGUACAGUGAGUGCAGCCGGAUGUGUAACUACGUCCCCCUGUGGGACGGAGUCACUCUGCCCUCUGACGCCAACAUCCUCCUGCUGUUCCCCGUGUUUGACUUUACGCUGCUGGGCGGCACCCUGGUAUUCAACAUCCUGUCCUUCACCAGCAUCCGCCGCUACACACGCAAACGUAAGCUCAUGUCAGAGGGGAAUGUGGGGGUCGAGGGAGGGGGAGGCGGCUGCCAACAUAGACCCUCCUUCUCUGACAUCAAGGCUGCCAAGACGAUCAGCAUUCUGACGUUUGCCUUCACGGCUUCCUUCACCCCCAUCGCUGUGUUUGUGCUGGGCAACGUGGUGGGCUUCACCUGGUGCAACUUCUCCUUUGUAGCCUUCUGGAUCCUGACUGGGAACAGCUGCUGUAAUGUGAUAAUAUACAGCGUGAGAGACCAGCGCUUCAGGAAAGGAGUGACUCUGCUUUUUCAGAGGGAGCACUCACCUUCCCAGGGGGAGAAAGGCGGAGCUACCCCCCCCAUUCACCUUGUGACUACACCCCCAACCCCACCUCCUUAAACUAUUUUGAAAAGACAACCAGUGCCCCUUUCUUUAACUUUACUAUGGAGAGAGGGAUUUAAUCGGCAUUUAACUUCAGGUAAAAAAAAACAUACAAAAAAGAUGCAAUUCUGGAAGAGGAAUUGUUUCCAUUUUUUUCACUGUGUCUAAAUAAUGAACAUAACUGUAGCUACCUUAUGGUAUCUAGUAGUCGCCAGCUAUUCCCAGCAUCAUUUAAAUCAUAUGACUCAAGCUGUCUCAUUGGACUAGGUGAGAUAUCUGUGGGGGAUAUCUUAAUAACAUGCACUUUAUCAUAGAGUUGUAAGUAAUGUAUGGUUUUCAUUUGUUUUCUGACAUGUUUUGUGACUGUCCAGAAACAUGUUAAUUUUGCACAAUUUUCUCUAUAAUAGCUUUUAUUUUUGCGAUAAUACCAUUAUAUUCAUGAGGAGGGCAUAAUCAAAUGUGAGUGAAUGAAUUGUAAGAAUGUUUUGAAUCUAAAUGACGAGAGAUGUUGAUGUUUUGUACAGUUAUGGGCAAUUCAACGGGUCCGUGAUCUGUACUACACAGAAAUGCAUAAUUAUGGAUAUGAAUGUCAUUCUCUUCAAGGUUAUGUAUCCUAAAUAGGUACAGAAAGGUUAUAUCAAUAUCUUCUUUUGCAUAUUUGGGUAUUAUUCUACACACUGGAUAUUAUUUUAAUGAGCUCUGCCUCCAAACAAGACCAAAUGAAAUCUGAACCAAUCAUAGAUGUCUUUGUUUCACAAGUUUAGACAUCAAAGUACAGCAGAGCACAGUAGAGUACAAUACAGCACAGUAGAGUACAAUACAGCACAGUAUAAUACAGCACAGUAGAGUACAAUACAGCACAGUAGAGUACAGCACAGUAGAGUACAAUACAGCACAGUAGAGUACAAUACAGCAUAGUAGAGUACAAAUCAGUACAGUAGAGUUCUGUACAGUACAGUACAUUCUAGUGUACUCACUGAAGUAUGCUCUACUGUACUAAACUGUACUCUACUGUACAGUACUGAACUAUACUCUUCUGUGCUGUCCAAACUGUGAUUUGUGACUACUAUUUCAAGGCACAAGGCCCAAUGUUUCUUAAACUUACAGAAGGCAGAAACAUUUCUCCAAAACGAAAUAUGUGUUGAUAUUAGUUGGCAGGGGUCUUUACAUCAACAUUAUUGUGUUUUGAUGUAUUCUGAUACCUUUUUAAGUCUUUUUCUGGUAGAUGUUUUCUAAGCCCCCUUUUCCAGAAAAUCAAAGCACUUGCUUAUUCCUAAUUUCUAGGAUGGUAAAAUGGA
rnacentral:lncRNA from 1 species